rnacentral:rRNA from 1 species
UACGUAGGGUGCGAGCGUUGUCCGGAAUUACUGGGCGUAAAGAGCUCGUAGGUGGUUUGUCGCGUUGUCCGUGAAAACUCACAACUCAAUUGUGGGCGUGCGGGCGAUACGGGCAGACUGGAGUACUGCAGGGGAGACUGGAAUUCCUGGUGUAGCGGUGGAAUGCGCAGAUAUCAGGAGGAACACCGGUGGCGAAGGCGGAUCUCUGGGCCUGUUCUGACGCUGAGGCGCGAAAGCUAGGGGAGCGAACAGG